rnacentral:rRNA from 1 species
CCCUUAGACGUUCUGGGCCGCACGCGCGCUACACUGACCAGUGCAACAAGCAUCCGUCCUUGGCCGACAGGCCCGGGCAAUCUUUGAACGCUGGUCGUGAUGGGGAUAGACUUUUGCAAUUUUUGGUCUUCAACGAGGAAUUCCUAGUAAACGCAAGUCAUCAGCUUGCAUUGAUUACGUCCCUGCCCUUUGUACACACCGCCCGUCGCACCUACCGAUUGAAUGGUCCGGUGAAAUCCUCGGAUCGAGCCGUGGGGCAACUCCGGUUCGAGAAGUUGAUUAAACCUUACCAUUUAGAGGAAGGUGAAGUCGUAACA